rnacentral:rRNA from 1 species
ACCCCGAGGAAAAGAAAUCAACCGAGAUUCCCCCAGUAGCGGCGAGCGAACGGGGAGCAGCCCAGAGCCUGAAUCAGUAUGUGUGUUAGUGGAAGCGUCUGGAAAGGCGCGCGAUACAGGGUGACAGCCCCGUACACAAAAAUGCACAUGCUGUGAGCUCGAUGAGUAGGGCGGGACACGUGGUAUCCUGUCUGAAUAUGGGGGGACCAUCCUCCAAGGCUAAAUACUCCUGACUGACCGAUAGUGAACCAGUACCGUGAGGGAAAGGCGAAAAGAACCCCGGCGAGGGGAGUGAAAAAGAACCUGAAACCGUGUACGUACAAGCAGUGGGAGCACGCUUAGGCGUGUGACUGCGUACCUUUUGUAUAAUGGGUCAGCGACUUAUAUUCUGUAGCAAGGUUAACCGAAUAGGGGAGCCGAAGGGAAACCGAGUCUUAACUGGGCGUUAAGUUGCAGGGUAUAGACCCGAAACCCGGUGAUCUAGCCAUGGGCAGGUUGAAGGUUGGGUAACACUAACUGGAGGACCGAACCGACUAAUGUUGAAAAAUUAGCGGAUGACUUGUGGCUGGGGGUGAAAGGCCAAUCAAACCGGGAGAUAGCUGGUUCUCCCCGAAAGCUAUUUAGGUAGCGCCUCGUGAAUUCAUCUCCGGGGGUAGAGCACUGUUUCGGCAAGGGGGUCAUCCCGACUUACCAACCCGAUGCAAACUGCGAAUACCGGAGAAUGUUAUCACGGGAGACACACGGCGGGUGCUAACGUCCGUCGUGAAGAGGGAAACAACCCAGACCGCCAGCUAAGGUCCCAAAGUCAUGGUUAAGUGGGAAACGAUGUGGGAAGGCCCAGACAGCCAGGAUGUUGGCUUAGAAGCAGCCAUCAUUUAAAGAAAGCGUAAUAGCUCACUGGUCGAGUCGGCCUGCGCGGAAGAUGUAACGGGGCUAAACCAUGCACCGAAGCUGCGGCAGCGACGCUGAUGCGUUGUUGGGUA